rnacentral:rRNA from 1 species
UACGGAAGGCAGCAGGGGGGAAUAUUGCACAAUGGGCGCAAGCCUGAUGCAGCCAUGCCGCGUGUAUGAAAAAGGCCUUCGGGUUGUAAAGUACUUUCAGUCGUGAGGAAGGUGUUAAGGUUAAUAACCUUAGCAAUUGACGUUAGCGACAGAAGAAGCACCGGCUAACUCCGUGCCAGCAGCCGCGGUAAUACGGAGGGUGCGAGCGUUAAUCGGAAUUACUGGGCGUAAAGGGCACGCAGGCGGUUAAUUAAGUUGGAUGUGAAAUCCCCGGGCUUAACCUGGGAAUGGCAUUCAAGACUGGUUAGCUAGAGUCUUGUAGAGGGGGUAGAAUUCCAUGUGUAGCGGUGAAAUGCGUAGAGAUGUGGAGGAAUACCGGUGGCGAAGGCGGCCCCUGGACAAAGACUGACGCUCAUGUGCGAAAGCGUGGGGAGCAAACAGGGAUUAGAUACCCGU